rnacentral:rRNA from 1 species
AUUGAACGCUGGCGGCAGGCCUAACACAUGCCAGUCGAGCGGAGUGGCGGACGGGUGAGUAAUGCCUCGGAAUCUGCCUGGUAGUGGGGGAUAACGUCCGGAAACGGGCGCUAAGACCGCAUACUAUUAGAGGAGCCUAGGUCGGAUUAGCUAGUAGGGGGGGGAACGGCUCACCUAGGUGACGAUCCCUAGCUGUUCUGAGAGGAUGACCAGCCACACUGGAACUGAGACACGGUCCGGGCGCGUACGGGAGGCAACAGGGGGGAAUUUGGGACAAUGGGGGAAAGCCUGAGGCAGCCGUGCCACGUGUGUGAGGAAGGCCUUCGGGGUGUAAGGUUCUGUCGGCUAGGAGGCGGUGCUAGCAGAGGAAGCACCGGCUGACUACGUGCCAGCAGCCGCGGUAAUUC